UAAGAAGAUUUGGAUAUGAUGAGAGAUAUACAUGCCAUUGUAAUGGUGGACUGUGUAACAAGAAUACAGGUCACUGUUCUAGUGGUAAAUGUCAAAAAGGCUGGUAUGGUUCAUCAUGUCAAAAAGAAAAUGUAGCAUUCAAAAAACGAACUGGACAGAGUUCUACCUAUAGUGAUGAUGAUGGUAUAAGAAGUGCUGGAUAUGCUGUAGAUGGUGAUACUAAUCAUGCCAGUGAUUAUGAACGAUGUAGUCACACAGCCGGCGGAACAGAACUUGCUUACUGGUCUGUCGACAUGAACCACAGUUAUCCGGUUACAGAUAUUCAAAUAUAUCUAAGAGAUGCCCAUUAUAAAAGAUUAGAAGGCUUUAAAGUAUUCAUUGAUGAAACAAAUCAAACCAAAAUUCCCUGUAAUUUUCAAAAUCAACCCACUGUGGCACCUGUCUUUACUAUAAGAUGUAAUAACAUAG